AUCCUAUGACCAGGCAACCCCAGUCCAUGCACAUAUAUGUGUAAGAAAAUCAGCCUGGACAUCUGCAGCUCAGCAUUAAGACCUUGGUAACUACUGUUCACUAGCACUCCUCAGCAUCACUUCCACACUUCACAACAGUUUUCUUUCUUACAGCCAACUCAAGGUAACUUACUAGCAUUCUGACUGUACUGAGCCAACCUUUACCCUUUGUAGGUCUAUAAUUCAUCUUUCUGUUACAGCAUAUCAUAAGUCUGCAUCCUUCCUGCAACAUAUGGUACUUUAGUACACUAAUACAUUUUCCCUUAAUUACUACAUGAUACUGAAUCAGAAUUCUAGGAAUUAAGAAGAGUUGAGCCCUAUCGUGAGCUAAGUCCUACAACAGGUGACUGCAGCAUGUAACUAAGUCCUACAACAGGUGACUGCAGCAUGUAACUAAGUCCUACAACAGGUGACUGCAGCAUGUAACUAAGUCCUACAACAGGUGACUGCAGCAUGUAACUAAGUCCUACAACAGGUGACUGCAGCAUGUAACUAAGUCCUACAACAGGUGACUGCAGCAUGUAACUAAGUCCUACAACAGGUGACUGCAGCAUGUAACUA